AUGCUUCUGGAAAUCAUACAGGGGAGGGGAAGAUUACUUUCCUCAAAAGACUUUCAGUGUACACAUACUUGGUCUGUUGGAGAAAAGAUGGUUGAAGAACUGGUAUUUUUAUAUACCCUACAUUCAAAUGGAGGUAUCACACCUUUCAGGAAUUAUCUGACAAAUUCAGGAAUAAAUGACAACACUACAAAAAAGAAAAAGAUAUUAAAAGAAACAUGUUUAUUUUAUCAACAUAAGAAUGAAAGUUAGCUAAUGAAUGUUUUUAAGGAGAGGCAUGAUAGUAUGCUUUGUAUGAAGGGUGAAUCGCAGGGAAGGAAACUAUGGAAGUAGAGAGACUAAUAUGAUGCAUGGAGCAGAAAUCCAGGUAAAUAUGAUGGUGGUUUGAACUAAUUUACUGGCAUAGUAGAUAUAGAGAAUAAGGCAAAAGAGAUAUAAAUGAGAAGUACAAUUGAAUAGAGAUGUUUGGAAGAGAAACUGAUAGAUCUAAAUCUGGACUAGCUAUAGAUGGUCUUGAGGAAGAGAGAAAGCAAUCAACUUUUGGAGGUUAAGCCAUUUAUUCAGAUGUUAACCACUGCGGGAAAGGAUCUAAAACAGUUUGAGGGAAAAUCAUCAUCAUACCACUAUGAUAUUUAGAAUGACCCAUUUACAUUAAUAAACUUUAAGCUCCUCAGCA
rnacentral:lncRNA from 12 species